GAGGCAUUGGUGUUUUCAUUAAAAGGCUCCGAACUAAGGCUGCCUCGUCUAUUCGGCCACCUGUAAAACUGGACAAGCAAUCACCAAUCCAUUCGUACAUCCGCUGGUUUGAACCGCUCGUGAUCCGCGCCCUGAAGGAAUACACUUUGUCCACUAAUGUUAUCUUACAGCAGCAAGUCUUGAGUCUUCUGGCUCAGCUUAUAAGACUAAGAGUUAAUUAUUCAUUAUUGGAUUCUGAUCAGGUAUUCGUCAGCUAUAUUAAAAAACAAUUUGAAUUCAUUGAUGCAGGUCAAAUAAA